rnacentral:lncRNA from 1 species
CGCAGAUGCAAAAUAUCAUUUACAAAUAAUUUCAACUAUCUCCCAAAAAGAGCAAAUAUUGAUAAAAACAAAAUCCUGACAAAAGAGAGACGAAAGAUACCAGAGGGGCAGUCAAACUCAUAAAUCGAAAAGAAACUGACAACGCCAUGGCUAAAAAUGAAAAAGACAAACAAACAAACAAUAGUACACAUGACACAGCAUAGAAAACUAAAGAAUAAGCAACAUACACACCUUCAAUAUAUGUACAAACAUAAACCCCA